CCACCAGGAAUUGAGAGAGGAAAGACCCCAGUGCAGGAUCAUCCACCACAGUCUCUCUUAGCAUCUCCACCUACAGUGUCUUGUUCAGCAUAGCUCCUGACCCACACUGAGCCAACUCACAUGCUGACUUGGGUGAGCCGGAAGUCAGUGUGUUGGUUACUUUUCUUAUUGUUGUGACUGAACACCAGACAAGAAGCAAGUUAAGAGACGGAUGGUCUGCGCUGGCUCACAGUUGGAGAGUCUCCUCCAUCAUGGUGGGGAAGCCUUGCUGCUUAGAGCAUGUGGCUUGCCAGUAAGAACUCGGAGGCUAUUUUCACACUUCUUGGAAGAUCAGGUAUCAACACCAGUGGGCAGGAAUGGCUGCUGCUCUCUGGACCUAUGCUGUACUCCAAGGAUGCGCAAAGGCAGUGUGAGCACAUGCAAGGGUGCUGGUGCACACCUUUAUGGGCCAGGAACUCCCCUAAGAGCUCUGACUUGAGAACAGUUCACCAGAUUGCUGGCUCUUACAGGAUGCAGAGGAUUUCCCUGCUUGUUCAUGCUUGCCCUGGCACCUUCCAGGCAUUUCUCUAGUGGUCUCCAACAUUCACAUCUGACCCUACCCUUACAUCUGCUUCUUAGAAGAUGUGGGUAGUACAACUGUAUUUUUCAAUACUCAUAAAGAACAAAAAUCAACAAU